GUGAAUCAUCGAAUCUUUGAACGCACAUUGCGCCCGCCAGCAUUCUGGCGGGCAUGCCUGUUCGAGCGUCAUUUCAACCCUCGACCUCCCCUUGGGGAAGUCGGCGUUGGGGACCGGCAGUAUACCGCCGGCCCCGAAAUGGAGUGGCGGCCCGUCCGCGGCGACCUCUGCGUAGUAAUCCAACCUCGCACCGGAACCCCGACGUGGCCACGCCGUAAAACCCCCAACUUUCUGAACGUUGACCUCGGAUCAGGUAGGAAUACCCGCUGAACUUAAGCAUAUCAAUAAGCGGAGGA
rnacentral:misc_RNA from 1 species